AGGACUGGAUACCUCUCCUGCUUAAAGUUUACUAUCACAAGGAUCCAGAUAUUCCACAGAUUGUGGCAAUUGCAAUUGGUAUUUGUGCUGAAUUCGGAUCAGAUUUCCUUAAACCUCAUACUGAAGGAAUAUUCGGUUGUUUGAAAACUGCAUUGGAGCAUAGUUUCCUAAGGAAAGUAACUGGUGUGCCAACAAGAUUUAAGCUUAAAGAGCUCGAAGAAGCAACCGAUAACUUUGGAUUGUUGGUAGGACGUGGAUCAUCAGCUUGUGUUUUCAAAGGUGUGCUUAGUGAUGGUGCAUCAGUAGCUGUGAAAAGGAUAAAUGGAGAGGAGCGUGGCGAUAAGGAAUUCAAAUCAGAAGUUGCAGCUAUUGCUAGUGUUCAACAUGUUAAUCUUGUACGUUUAUAUUGUAGUGUUCCUCCAUCAGGACCUCGAUUUUUGGUUUACGAGUAUAUAGUUAAUG